AGACAAACGUACGACUUGUCUCGUUUGUUUAAGAUGAUGCAGAAUCAAAAGGUGAGAAUGGUGUAGAGGAGAUGAGGAGAUGUGGUGGCACUACUACACGCUCAUGGCUUAAUCAUAUCUUCUAGGAGGAGCGUCACACAUCCGCCCAAAAAGACUUCUCUCCCUUGUUGAAGAUGAAGAAGGAAAUCCCUACGGAUGUAGGAAAUAUGGUGGCACGACACGCUCAUGAAUCCAAUAUUUCAGGAAACAAAAUGGAACCAAUCAUCAACAACAAAUAGGUUUAUUCUAUUUUAGCCUAAUUUAUCACAGUUGAUUGACAUAAUCUAGUUGGAAAGAAAAGUGACAAAAUGUACCAUCUUUAUCACAUGACCAUUAAGAAACUCUGUGAGCUGUCUUUUUUAUCUAGAUUAUGUUUUGAAUAGUGGUAAAUAAGGUCUGAAGGAAGAUAAGCCAUGUUGUGACA